rnacentral:rRNA from 1 species
GGGUCAGUAGGUUGGUCAUGCCACUGGUAUGUACUGGUCUCACUGAUUCCUCCUUCCUGAUGAACUGUAAUGCCAUUAAUUUGGUGUUUUGGGGAAUCAGGACUGUUACUUUGAAAAAAUUAGAGUGUUUAAAGCAGGCUCACGCUUGAAUACAUUAGCAUGGAAUAACGGAAUAGGACGUUUGAUUCUAUUUUGUUGGUUUCUAGGAUCGACGUA